rnacentral:rRNA from 1 species
AAUCCUGAAUUCGAAAGGGACCGGAUUCAGUUACUACCGAGAGUUCCGUGGCGACCCGCGCCAGAUGGUGUCGGACGCCCGCGGCGAUUCAUUUCGCUUGCGGUGUCGAUCCCGGCGGCCACUCGGCGACGGGGCCGUAUUCCCGGCUUCGGAGUAACGCACUUCCUCCCUAGUAGAAACGUCGCGACCCGUUGGGUGCCGGUCCCAAGGCCCUGGGAUGGCAGACCGUGCGUCCCGCGGGGGUGAAAGCUCCCGCGGGCGCGCGGACUCCCGGUGACCCGGCCGGCUGCCCGACGGUAUGACCAGAGGAGUCGAUCCGCUGAAUUGGGAAACACUUUGGCCUGUGUAGCGUCCGGCCCGAUGACGAGGCGUGCGGGGUUGGAAAAGGUGUCAAAACCGGGGGUGCUCGUGCGAAGCACGGCCCCGGCCCCUGCCGCGUCCUCGGACAUUUCGGAGUCCUCGGACAGGAUCGUCACUCCCGUCUGCGACGCCCACCUUCGGAUGGUCUCCCG